rnacentral:rRNA from 1 species
ACCUGCGGAGGGAUCAUUACACAAUAACAUAUGAAGGCUGUACGCCGCUGCGCCCCCGGGCCAGUUGGCUGAGGCUGGAUUAUUUAUUACCCUUGUCUUUUGCGCACUUGUUGUUUCCUGGGCGGGUUCGCCCGCCUCCAGGACCACACCAUAAACCUUUUUUAUGCAGUUGCAAUCAGCGUCAGUACAACAAAUGUAAAUCAUUUACAACUUUCAACAACGGAUCUCUUGGUUCUGGCAUCGAUGAAGAACGCAGCGAAAUGCGAUACGUAGUGUGAAUUGCAGAAUUCAGUGAAUCAUCGAAUCUUUGAACGCACAUUGCGCCCUUUGGUAUUCCAAAGGGCAUGCCUGUUCGAGCGUCAUUUGUACCCUCAAGCUUUGCUUGGUGUUGGGCGUUUUUGUCUUUGGUUUGCCAAAGACUCGCCUUAAAACGAUUGGCAGCCGGCCUCCUGGUUACGCAGCGCAGCACAUUUUUGCGCUUGCAAUCAGCAAGAGGGCGGCACUCCAUCAAGACUCCUUCUCACGUUUGACCUCGGAUCAGGUAGGGAUACCCGCUGAACUUAAGCAUAU